rnacentral:rRNA from 1 species
UGGGGGAAUCCAUGGGCCUUACCAUGCAGUCGAGGGGAAACGGCAUAGAGUGCUUGCACUCUUUGGACGUCGACCGGCGCACGGGGAGAAACGCGUAUCCAACCUUCCCAUUACUGUGGGAUAACCUGCCGAAAGGCAGACUAAUACCGCAUGGUCUUCGAUGACGGCAUCAGGUUUGAAGUAAUGAUUUAUCGGUAAUGGAUGGGGAUGCGUCUGAUUAGCUUGUUGGCGGGGUAACGGCCCACCAAGGCGACGAUCAGUAGGGGUUCUGAGAGGAAGGUCCCCCACAUUGGAACUGAGACACGGUCCAAACUCCUACGGGAGGCAGCAGUGAGGAAUAUUGGUCAAUGGGCGAGAGCCUGAACCAGCCAAGUAGCGUGCAGGAUGACGGCCCUAUGGGUUGUAAACUGCUUUUGUAUGGAGAUAAAGUCAGUCACGUGUGACUGUUUGCAGGUACCAUACGAAUAAGGACCGGCUAAUUCCGUGCCAGCAGCCGCGGUAAUACGGAAGGUCCAGGCGUUAUCCGGAUUUAUUGGGUUUAAAGGGAGCGUAGGCCGGAGAUUAAGUGUGUUGUGAAAUGUAGACGCUCAACGUCUGACUUGCAGCGCAUACUGGUUUCCUUGAGUACGCACAACGUUGGCGGAAUUCGUCGUGUAGCGGUGAAAUGCUUAGAUAUGACGAAGAACUCCGAUUGCGAAGGCAGCUGACGGGAGCGCAACUGACGCUUAAGCUCGAAGGUGCGGGUAUCAAACAGGAUUAGAUACCCUGGUAGUCCGCACAGUAAACGAUGGAUGCCCGCUGUUGGUACCUGGUAUCAGCGGCU